rnacentral:lncRNA from 1 species
GUUUGUGUCCAAAACGGACGUUGAUUAGAGAAGCUCAAGAUCGGACGUCGAUUAGAAAAUGCCAAAAAAAAAAGGACGUCGAUUAGAUAGACAUAAAAUUGGCCGUCGAUUUGGAAUGUUAUUUCAUUGUGACGUCAGAUUUGGACGUCGAUUUGAGGAACGGACGUCGAUAAGAGACCGGACGUCGACCUGAGUCUUACA